UCGCCCGUUAACCCGCUAGCCGUCGGAUCGAUCCGUCGCACAAUAACAACCAUCCGAUGCGGGUCCGAUCGGGCCUUCGCCCAUCAACCCGCAAACCCGGUCAUUGCGAAUCGUCGCGAAGCUGACCGAAUUUCUGCAGAUGUCGACGCCAUCCGCCACCCCGCCGGUCCCGUCCCUGCCGAGCGCCAUCCCCUCCCAUCCCUGGCCCGCCCAGGCCACGCUGCCGAGCGCGGGAGGCCCCGAUACUCCUCUUCCAACAUGCCCAGGGCUGGGCUACGCCUCCGCCACAGCCACCACUGGCACUGCCGCCCUUGUCCCCGCACUUGCCCAGGCCAGGCCACGCCACCACCGUGCUCGCCACGAGGUGCGCUGCAUAGGUCCCAGCCCCUACCAUCCCGGAGAACUGUUUUUUUGGUCGAGUGCCACCUCCGCAUCCGGCACACCUGCCGAGGCAUCUUCCACGGUGGGGCGCGUCGGAUCUAGUGGGAUCGGACGGGAGUUGUAACUCCCCAAAUAAGCACUGCACCCACAUCCCAGUCGCCGUCGCCGCGCUCCGUGGUUCGCCUGCAAUCGCACAACUUGAGACAACGACGAUGGAGGCGAAGCGCGAGACGAUGCCCAGUUCGAACCCGUGUAGGUGCCGUGGUCUACUGCAGCAGGCGGAGUCGUCAGUCUAACUGCGUUGUGUCAUGGUGACACGAACCCACCUGCUCGUCAGCAACUGGUGGCAGACCAUUUCCUCCCUUCCUCCAGCUGCAGCCACCGAGGCGAGUGCAACCUUGACACGAUGGCGACCGUGUUAUUACUAGGAUGAACGGGCGAAGGUUGGUAAGCAAGGUAGAGUCCAUUUUCUAAGAAAAAUGUUGCUUUGCAUCCGCACUAUAAUCUGCUAUGCUCACAACGUCACUACCGCUUCUGCUACUCUCGCCAAGUCACCAUGUCCAUCUUGAUGGCAUUUUGAUGAUCAGUGUCAACGGGAUUACCAUAUGAUGUGCAUUAAAUAUAAUGUUUGGUGAGGGCCAUAAAAAUGUUGCUUUGCUCUAAUAAAUCCUAAUCUGACAUCUAGAAAGCAAGCUCACACUUAUUCAAGUAGAUUUUAGUUAUAGGAGGUCCUGCAAUAAUACUGUACAAUUUUUGGUAAUUCUGAAGUUUACCACUCAGUUUCUUUAUUAACUCUGUCCUUUCUCCAAAUUUAUGACCAUUUUCAUCAGCACAUGACAGAUAUUUAAUGCAAUUAGAAAUUAGGAAGUUUUUUCAUA